AGUGAACGCUGGCGGUAGGCCUAACACAUGCAAGUCGAACGGCAGCACAGUAAGAGCUUGCUCUUACGGGUGGCGAGUGGCGGACGGGUGAGGAAUACAUCGGAAUCUACUUUUUCGUGGGGGAUAACGUAGGGAAACUUACGCUAAUACCGCAUACGACCUACGGGUGAAAGCAGGGGAUCUUCGGACCUUGCGCGAUUGAAUGAGCGGCUGUCGGUUUAGCUAGUUGGCGGGGUAAAGGCCCACCAAGGGGACGAUCCGUAGCCGGUGUGAGAGGAUGGUCACCCACACUGGAGCUGAGACAGGGACCAGGCUCCUACGGGAGGCAGCAGUGGCGAAUAUUGGACAAUGGGCGCAAGCCUGAUCCAGCCAUCCCGCGUGGGUGAAGAAGGCCUUCCGGUUGUAAAGCCCUUUUGUUGGGAAAGAAAAGCAGCAGGUUAAUACCCCGCUGUUCUGACGGUACCCAAAGAAUAAGCACCGGCUAACUUCGUG
rnacentral:rRNA from 1 species